UCCAGCAAAUAUCUCAUCUCUGAGAUGUUAGACGACGUGACAUCGGAAUUCCAGUUCAACUCCUCAAAUGCAUAAUGAAGAGCAAGUAAUACACUGUGGACAAAAUUGUUCUUGCAUGCUUUUGAAAGAUCUUGCUCUCCACCUUUUACAACAACAUCCGACCAGUCGACCAUUGAUUUCAAAUACAUUAUCACGGGAUUCCUUAACUUACUAGAUUGAUUAACCUCAUUUACCAACUCAAACAACCUAAAUAUAUAGCAUACUUUCUAAAUAUAAGCCUUGAAGUUAGAGCCUUAACAUCAUUUUCCCUUACGCGUAGACUACAAACUAAUUUCAUAGCCCAAGUAAUUAGUUUAUUUAGCAUCUCUUCACUUGAAGUUCCGAUAAUGGGUUUGAAGUAAUAUAUGAAAUGAGCUCUCUUUCAAUCGGUCUCAACUAUCAAUAAUGGAACCAACCAUUAAUAGGGUUGAAUCAGAAAAUUACCAAACACCUCAAUGGAUGCCUUAAUAGACCAAACAUUUAUCAUAAUUAAG
rnacentral:lncRNA from 1 species